rnacentral:rRNA from 1 species
GAUGAACGCUGGCGGCGUGCCUAAUACAUGCAAGUCGAGCGAACGGACGAUAAGCUUGCUUCUCUGAUGUUAGCGGCGGACGGGUGAGUAACACGUGGAUCACCUACCUAUAAUACUGGUAUAACUUCGGAACACCGGAGCUAAUACCGGAUGAUAUUUUGCACCGUAUGGUUCGAUAUUAAAAGACUGUCUUUCUGUCACUUAUCGAUGUAUCCGCGCUUCAUUAGCUAGUUGGUAAGGUAACGGCUUACCAAGGCAACGAUGCAUAGCCGACCUGAGAGGGUGAUAGGACACACGGGAACUGAGACACGGACAAGAGGCCUAAGGGAGGCAGCAGUAGGGAAUCUUCCGCAAUGGGCGAAAGCCUGACGGAGCAACGCAGCGUGAGUGAUGAAGGGCUUCGGAUCGUAAAACUGUGUUAUUAGGGAAGAACAGAUGUGUAAGUAAAUGUGCAGAUCUUGACGGUACCUAAUAAGAAAGCCACGGCUAACUACGUG